AGAGUUUGAUCCUGGCUCAGGACGAAUGCUGGCUGCGUGCUUAACACAUGCAAGUCGAACGGUGAACAGGGGCUUGCCCCUGGGAUCAGUGGCGAACGGGUGAGUAACACGUGGGCAACCUGCCCCUCACUCUGGGAUAACUCCGGGAAACCGGGGCUAAUACCGGAUACGACCAGGCACGACAUCGGGUCUGGUGGAAAGAACUUCGGUGAGGGAUGGGCCCGCGGCCUAUCAGCUUGUUGGUGAGGUAACGGCUCACCAAGGCGACGACGGGUAGCCGGCCUGAGAGGGCGACCGGCCACACUGGGACUGAGACACGGCCCAGACUCCUACGGGAGGCAGCAGUGGGGAAUCUUGCGCAAUGGGCGAAAGCCUGACGCAGCAACGCCGCGUGCGGGAUGACGGCCUUCGUGGUUGUAAACCGCUUUCAGCAGGGACGAAAAUGACGGUACCUGCAGAAGAAGCCCCGGCUAACUACGUGCCAGCAGCCGCGGUAAU
rnacentral:rRNA from 1 species